UAGGGAAUCUUCGGCAAUGGACGAAAGUCUGACCGAGCAACGCCGCGUGAGUGAAGAAGGUUUUCGGAUCGUAAAACUCUGUUGUUAGAGAAGAACAAGGACGUUAGUAACUGAACGUCCCCUGACGGUAUCUAACCAGAAAGCCACGGCUAACUACGUGCCAGCAGCCGCGGUAAUACGUAGGUGGCAAGCGUUGUCCGGAUUUAUUGGGCGUAAAGCGAGCGCAGGCGGUUUCUUAAGUCUGAUGUGAAAGCCCCCGGCUCAACCGGGGAGGGUCAUUGGAAACCGGGAGACUUGAGUGCAGAAGAGGAGAGUGGAAUUCCAUGUGUAGCGGUGAAAUGCGUAGAUAUAUGGAGGAACACCAGUGGCGAAGGCGGCUCUCUGGUCUGUAACUGACGCUGAGGCUCGAAAGCGUGGGGAGCAAACAGG
rnacentral:rRNA from 2 species